GGGGAUGUUUUGGUUUUGACAGCAAAUUGAAUCGGAAAGUAAGCACGUCGAGCGUGGUGAGGCCGGCUCGUUAAUCCCGGAACACAAGCCAUAACUGGCAACAACAACUAUGCACUCGCUGCGUAAUUAAGUUAUGCUUAAUCGCUUUAUCGCCGCCGGCUAGGUCCGGCCGCGACGAGUAUCCCGCCGGGCUUUAAGCCAACUCAGUACCGGCAUAUGGGGUAUCAUCCAAGUUGUGCUGCGGACAUCUACUUCUCUAAAGUGUUCAAAGUAAAAACAGAGAAUAAGUUUUGAGUGGCCUGCCUGUUGGCAGCUCAUUACCGACAAUCAAUAACAGAAUAAGCGUGUAGAAAGCUUUUGGAUGAUUUGUUUGGACGGCGGUUCGAGUCCGCCCAUCUCCACAG
rnacentral:tmRNA from 1 species